rnacentral:tRNA from 1 species
GGCGGAGUAGCUCAGCCGGUUAGAGCGUCGGAAUCAUAAUCCGUAGGUCGUUGGUUCAAAUCCGACUGCCGCUA